GACGAACGCUGGCGGCGUGCUUAACACAUGCAAGUCGAGCGGGGAUUAGUGAGGUGCUUGCACUGAACUAAUUCUAGCGGCGGACGGGUGAGUAACGCGUGAGCAAUCUGUCCUACACAGGGGGAUAACACUUGGAAACAGGUGCUAAUACCGCAUAAGACCACGAGGUCGCAUGGCCAUGGGGUAAAAGAAAUUCGGUGUAGGGUGAGCUCGCGUCCCAUUAGCUAGUUGGUGAGGUAACGGCCCACCAAGGCGACGAUGGGUAGCCGACCUGAGAGGGUGAUCGGCCACAUUGGAACUGAGACACGGUCCAG
rnacentral:rRNA from 1 species